UGGCAGGUCCAUACCGCGAUAAAAACAUCUGAUCCCGUCCGAUCUCGGAAUUUAAGCAUCGUCGGGCCGGGAUAAUACUUGGAUGGGGGACCGCCUGGGAACGCCCGGUGGUCUGUUUU
rnacentral:rRNA from 1 species